rnacentral:rRNA from 1 species
AGGUUAAGCCCGAUGAACCUGAAUAUCCAUUAUGAGAAAUUCAUCAUUAUACCAGGUAAUAUUAAUUUAUUAAUAUUAUUUGUGAUAGUGUGCAUUUUUUUCAUAUAAGGACAUUGUGAUCUAUUAACAUAAUAAAAAUAUUUAUCAAAAGAUCAUUAGCUUAAGUUUAUUUGAAUUAAUUUGCUAUAAGCAUAUUAACAUAAAAUAAAUGCAAAUGAUUUGAUAAAGUGUUGAUAGAUUUAUUAUAUAUAAUGCUUAAAUUUAUUGAAAUUUUACAAUAAUAUUA